UCUAUUUCAGUAGAGCGUAUGAUGUCGAUGGCCCGAGGUAGAGCACUCAAUGGGCUAGGGUGGCCCCCAUUUCGCUUUACCAACCCUAGGGAAACUCCGAAUACAGGCCUCAUCCUUAGUACAGACAGACUAAUUGGGUGCUAAGAUCCAAAGUCGAGAGGGAAAUAGCCC
rnacentral:ncRNA from 1 species